ACUCAAAGGAAUUGACGGGGGCCUGCACAAGCGGUGGAGUAUGUGGCUUAAUUCGAUGCAACGCGAAGAACCUUACCUGGCCUUGACAUGUAGGUAGUAGAAGCUUGAAAGAGUGACGAGGUAGCAAUACCAGCUUACACAGGUGCUGCAUGGCUGUCGUCAGCUCGUGUCGUGAGAUGUUGGGUUAAGUCCCGCAACGAGCGCAACCCUUGUGUCCUGUUGCCACCUUUACGAGAGUAAAGAGCACUCUGGACAGACUGCCUCGCUUAAACGAGGAGGAAGGUGGGGAUGACGUCAAGUCAGUAUGGCCCUUACGGCCAGGGCUGCACACGUACUACAAUGCCCGGUACAAAGGGAAGCAAGACUGUAAAGUGGCGCAAAUCUCAAAAAACCGGGCCCAGUUCAGAUUGUCGGCUGCAACUCGCCGACAUGAAGUUGGAAUCGCUAGUAAUGGCGCAUCAGCUACGGCGCCGUGAAUACGUUCCCAGGCCUUGUACACACCGCCCGU
rnacentral:rRNA from 1 species